AUGACCUAUCAAAGCUUGACCGAUUACGUAAAGGUGGCCUUCCACAUGAUGAUGCAUUUAUUAAUGAUGAUGAUGAGCACGCCAUUACUGAUAGUGAUGAUGAUGAUGCAUUUAUUGAUCCCGGAGCAUUUAUUGAACCCGACGAUCCAGAUUAUUAUUAGUGCCAUGGUCUUGAUAUCCGUCCCCGUCAGCCCUCGCCCGCUUUAUGAUUCGGAUAUGGAGGUAUGUGAACCGGAAUUUGCAAACGACCCUCUUGUCGAGAAGUUAAAUUUAGUUGAAAAAGAAAAUGAGUAUUUGAAAGAAAAAAAAGAAUUGAAGAAGAGAAGAUGA
rnacentral:rRNA from 1 species